rnacentral:lncRNA from 1 species
GUUGUGGGUGAGAGAGGAAUUUCAGAGGAUAAGUGUCUAGUAAAACAAAACAUAGCUGUCUAGGCAGGGACGGAUUUACCAGGAACCAAUGAAGCACAAGCUUUGAGGCCUCUCACGACCUCCUACUGACCCCUUACUUCCAAGUCCUUGUAAGCGGCCUUAGGAAUGCCUGAGGGUCCAGAUAAUCAAAGCUUCGGAUCUCCUAAAACCUGGCUUUGCCUCUUACUUGAGAACUUUGCAAAGAAGAAUGCUAGCCAGUGAAUGUUCAGAGAGGAAGGAAGAAGAAGCUGUCCAAUGACCUUUUUUCUUAUGGCUUUCUAACUUGAUUCUUGACACUGUCACCAAGGAGUAAUCUGUGGAGAGACAUUUGAUUGAUUAUCUCUGCAAUCCUCCCCUCCCCACUUCCUUCUCUGGCCCCUCCUUGUCCACAUGGGCCUCUGGAGAAACCAGCGAGGGAUGACUGGGGAUAAAGGCUCGUCUCUGGAGAGGGCUGCCAACCUCACCUUGUUCCAAGUCUCCACAAAACACAGCCAACCUUCCAGACACAAAAGAAGCACCUCCUGACUCCAUCUCUUUUCCUUGUUUUCUCUCUUUACAAGCAUAUUGGUAUUUUUUCACAGAGAGAUAAUUCCCAUUCACUUCUAGGAAGAAAAUUUCGCUCUCAAAACUGUUGGUGAGAGACCCCUUGAAGAGAGAACUUCUCUGUUCUUCUGGAGGAGAUGAUUUAGUAAGGCAGUGCUGGAGUUCAAACUGAGCCUCCACAGGCCUAACUUGCUUCACUUUUAAGCUUUUAGGAAGAGAGCUUUUAGAGAGAGAAAAUUGCUUUCCAAAAGGGAACUCUAGAAAGAGGACGAAUGAGCAGGGCUGAAACUUUGAGAGAAAAUGGAAGGAGUUGGAAGAUGGAGGGAGGAACCAAAGUAACUAAUAAGAAUUUCUGGGGCUGGGUGCAGUGGCUCACACUUGAAAUCUCAGCACUUUGGGAGGCUGAAGUCGUGGAUCACAUGAGUCCAGGAAUUCAAGAGCAGCCUGGGCAAUAUGGCAAGACCCCGUCUCUACAAAAAAUACAAAAAUUAGCUGGGCAUGGGGGUGUCUGUAGUCCCAGCUACUCGGGAGGCUGAAGCAGGAAGAUCCCUGGAGCCCAGAGGUUGAGGCUGCAGUGGGCCGUAAUCACGCCACUGCGCUCCAGCCUGGACGGCCAAGUGAGACUAUCUCAAAAAAAAAAAAAGAAUUUAUUAAUUUCUUCUUAUGAAAUAUACAAUAUAGGCCCCCUCUUUUUGCUCCUGUAUGAGAAUGUGAAGAAAAGUCUUUGGCUUGAUGUGCAGUCCUGAUUCCUCUGGAUUCCUUUUGGGAGAGAGGUUAGAACAAGAACUGAGGCCUGGUUCCAGUAAGUGCCUGGAUGCAGGACAGCAGGGUAGCUGACAUCCUGGAUAUGCAAAGUAACAGCAUGGAGAAUAAAGGAGUGAGGAAAAUUAAUAAAACAUGGAAUAUUUUAAUAAGACUGCAAGGAAGCAUACAGAGACACAUGGAAAAUACAAAGAUAGCUGUUUUAUUGUAGCAUGGACAUGGACUUUAUGGCUGGCAAUUUGGGCGUUUCAAGCUCUUUUUGUUGUUUACUUGUGGUACAUGUUUGACAAGUAAUUUCCAUUUUCCAAGUCAUUUUUUUCAUCUGUAAAAUGAGACUAAUUCAAAUAACUUCCCUCGAUAGGUUUCUAUUUUUGGUGAGAAUUGUUUUUUUCUUUUCAUGUAGUAUAUAUUUUAUUAGCUUGUACUAAUACAUUCUCAUAUUACAAAGUCAAUUUAGUGGAAGAAUCUUCCUUCUGAUAUUUGAUUCAUGUGAAAUAACACAAACAGAACUAUACAUUCAAAAAAAUUCUCAUUUAGAUAACAAAAAAAAGACAAGUUAAACAACAAAAAUCUUUUCCUUUCUCACAGGUGGACAUUGAAGUGGACCUAAUUCGGUUUUCCUUUUAAAAGCCCCCACAAACAAAAGUAGUUUGAAACCUAUUUAAAAU